GCCAGCAUGGCAUAAAGGUUUGAGCGCUGGGCUGCGACUCUGGAGGCCGGGGUUCGAAUCCUGGCUCGGCCG